UACUAAAACAAGGUUUAUUUCAUAGAGUAAUACUUGAUGUGAACAAAAAAAUAAUAAGCCACCAAUAUAAAGAGAAAGUUCGUUAAACCGUAUAUAUUAUAAUUUUCAGCUCAUCGGGGUGAGAUGAUUAAAUGAAGAUGGAUGAACAUGGCUGUUUCUUCGGCGAUGGCGGCACUCUAGCUACGUUUCACCGGAAGAGUAGAUGUUUACGAAAAUGGCAUUCGUCAGUGAACAUUUUCAAACUGGGAAUAAUAUAUCAUAAGCCGAUUAAAAUGUGUGAACGUUUCAGUGUUUCGAAGACUAAGUUUCGUAGCAGAUUUUGAUUCCGUCACGGGGUUUACUUCGUCGUCAAACCCGUUGCCAUUCAUGGAAUUUACUUCUCAACAAGGAAAGACAAACUUCUUUGAAAGAAGACUAAGUGAACACCAAUUACCUUCAGUUAUACUCUGAAUCAUGUUUGUGAAUAAAAUUAUUUGUCAAAGACUUAUUCAUAAUAUUAUAAGAAAACUUUAUUUUUAAAUUUUAUAAUUGAAGUGAAAAGUAUUAAAAAUCUUUAUUAAUUAUACUAUCAUA